CAGUAGCCGCGGUAAUACGAAGGGGGCUAGCGUUGUUCGGAAUUACUGGGCGUAAAGCGCACGUAGGCGGAUAUUUAAGUCAGGGGUGAAAUCCCGCAGCUCAACUGCGGAACUGCCUUUGAUACUGGGUGUCUAGAGUAUGGAAGAGGUGAGUGGAAUUCCGAGUGUAGAGGUGAAAUUCGUAGAUAUUCGGAGGAACACCAGUGGCGAAGGCGGCUCACUGGUCCAUUACUGACGCUGAGGUGCGAAAGCGUGGGGAGCAAACAGGAUUAGAUACCCCGGUAGUCCCUGUCUCUUAUAC
rnacentral:rRNA from 1 species